UACGGAGGGUGCGAGCGUUGUCCGGAAUCACUGGGCGUAAAGGGCGCGUAGGCGGCCUGGUAAGUAGGGGGUGAAAUCCUGCGGCUCAACCGCAGGGCUGCCUUCUAAACUGUCAGGCUCGAGCACAGUAGAGGCAGGUGGAAUUCCCGGUGUAGCGGUGGAAUGCGUAGAGAUCGGGAAGAACAUCAGUGGCGAAGGCGGCCUGCUGGGCUGUUGCUGACGCUGAGGCGCGACAGCGUGGGGAGCAAACAGG
rnacentral:rRNA from 1 species